rnacentral:lncRNA from 1 species
UAACAAUCAAAUAGACUUUAAGUACACAUGCAAAUACCAAUUAUCAAUCUCUAUAAUUACUUCAUGAUAACGACAAACUAAGAAAUGAAAUUCACCAAAAUAACUAUCAAAUAGAAAAUAAGUAAAGAUUCAAAAUAGUUGCGAAAAAAAUUUUAGAUUUAAGUGUUCGUAUGACCAAGUUCAAGUGACACCGUUGAUAUUGUUAAUUUGGAUAUUUUUUUCUGAAGACAUGGAUUUAAAUUCGAAUUUUUUACAUUGUGGGUGUAAGUUUACUGGUGGUGCUUGUCAUUUCGUCUACAUAAAAAAAUUGCCUUAAUUAUAUUAUUUGUUGUGACAUACUAUAUAUUACUAGAAAAGUGCACCAACGCUGGUGAAUAAUAAACAUUACUAAGAGGGUAUGUAAUCCUCUUAUUUCCACAGCCAUAACUUGAACUCCAUUAUUGUUUUUGAGAAUUUGACUCCUCUAAAGUGAGAAGUUACUAAAGUGGAUCAAUUAAUGAUUGAUAUCAUAAUAAUUUAUGAUUGAUCAUGCAUGUGCACAUAAUAUCAACUAUUUAUUUGAUCAUCAAUAGUUGAUAUUAUUUACUUUAUUCUCUAAAGUGAAUUGUUCACUUAGAAGAGCCAUAUCCUUGUCUUGAACUUCUCUAACCUCUUGUCAAAUUGAAGGCCAAUCGACACCAAGUCAUGCAUAUUAGUCCAAAAUUUGAACCGUUCGAUAUCCUAACUUGCAAGACUCUUAUACGGGAGUCUUCAUAUAUAUAGGUUCCAAAAUUGGAACUGUAUUGUUAUUCUUAUAUAAUUGUAAAACCAAAGUUUUGGCAUAGAGUUUACACAAGGAAUGUUAGAUUGAAGAAGCAAUUGCUAUUCUUAGAUAAUUGUAAAACCAAAGUUUUGGCAAGGAGUUCACACAAGGCAUGUUAGAUUGAAGAAGCAAAUGAUGUUCA